rnacentral:miRNA from 1 species
UAUGGGACUCCUAACAGCAGGAGCAGGGGCUGUCUCGGACUCUGUUGCCUCCCUUUAGGACCCUUUCUCC